UGGAGUAUAGCUCAGUUGGUAGAGUGCACGGCUGGGGGUCGUGAGGUCGCUGGUUCAAGUCCGACUACUCCGACGA
rnacentral:tRNA from 1 species